GAUGAACGCUGGCGGUAUGCUUAACACAUGCAAGUCGAACGGUCACUUCGGUGAUAGUGGCGGACGGGUGAGUAACGCGUGAGAAUCUGUCUUCAGGUCGGGGACAACAGUUAGAAAUGACUGCUAAUACCGGAUGUGCCUUUGGGUGAAAGAUUUAUUGCCUGAAAAAGAGCUCGCGUCAGAUUAGCUAGUAGGUGGUGUAAGAGACUACCUAGGCUCCGAUCUGUAGCUGGUCUGAGAGGACGAUCAGCCACACUGGAACUGAGACACGGUCCAGACUCCUACGGGGGGCAGCAGGGGGAAUUUUCCGCAAUGGGCGAAAGCCUGACGGAGCAAUACCGCGUGAGGGACGAAGGCUUUUGGGUCGUAAACCUCUUUUCUCAAGGAAGAUGAUGACGGUACUUGAGGAAUAAGCAUCGGCUAACUCUGUG
rnacentral:rRNA from 1 species